CUCCUGCCUCAGCCUCCCAGAGUGCUGGGAUUACAGAGAGAGCCGUGUUUAUCCCGAUGUCUGGUUGCUCGGCAGUCGGGAGUUGCAGUAGCAGCUGUGCGGCCAUCAAUGCCGAGCAGACUCCCUGCCCGCUCGCUCGGCCCCUGCCCUCCUGAUCUUCAAUGUGAAGAACACCCCGCAGGUGAUCUCUCAACACGGUCCA